UAGUCCACGCCGUAAACGAUGUCUACUAGCCGUAGGGUUCCUUGAGGACUUUGUGGCGCAGCUAACGCGCUAAGUAGACCGCCUGGGGAGUACGGCCGCAAGGUUAAAACUCAAAUGAAUUGACGGGGCCCGCACAAGCGGUGGAGCAUGUGGUUUAAUUCGAUGCAACGCGAAGAACCUUACCAGGUCUUGACAUCCAGAUAACUUUCUAGAAAUAGAUUGGUGCCUUCGGGAAAUCUGUGACAGGUGCUGCAUGGCUGUCGUCAGCUCGUGUCGUGAGAUGUUGGGUUAAGUCCCGUAACGAGCGCAACCCUUGUCCUUAGUUGCCAUCAGGUAAUGCUGGGAACUCUAAGGAGACUGCCGGUGACAAACCGGGAGGAACGGUGGGGACGACGUCAAGUCAUCAUGGCCCUUACGGACCUGGGGCUACACACGUGCUACAAUGGGGGAGUACAGAGGGUUGCGAAGCAGCAAUGUGGAGCUAA
rnacentral:rRNA from 1 species